GUGUGUGUGUGUAAAUAAUGUAUAUAUAAAGAUUUAUAUAUACAUAAUUUACAUAUACAUUAGGUUUGAAGCAGAGGCAGUUGUUCCAUCUUGUUCCAAAAAAGAUUGAUGGUUAUUUUGGGCAACUUGUGUUCAUGCAAUAAAAGCUACCUAUAGUAUUUUUUCAAUCAUUGACUCUUGCAACAAACUUAGACUUAAAUGAGUUAAAGUGACUAGAGAUCAUUAAAUUUUAAAGUAAUUACUGCUAUUUUAAUUGUUUUAUAUAAAUAAAAAAACUAUUAUAGCUUUAUUUUAACGGUGAAGUAUUAUAUCAAAUAAACUAUUUUAUUUUUAUUUCCGAAAAAGUAAUAUUUUGAAUCUGGUUAUGGUAUUAUUACUGCCUAGAUAUAUAUUGUAAUCUGUUUACACUUAUUCUACUUUUUUGUUUUUACAUAAUUUUAUUUAUAUUUAAUUUACUAAAUAAUUACUAACAUAUAACGAAGUAUAUGCAGGAUUUAAUUUCACAACUAAAAAGGACUUCGAAGAAGAAUGUAAGUAAUUAUGUUUGUGAAGAAUUUUGUUUCUCUUCGGAUUUAACUUUUCUUUGUUUUUUAUAUGGUAAAAAAUAAAUAAAAAUUAUUAUUAACUAUUGGUCAAAACUGAUUUCAAUAACACUGUCUACAUUUUUUGACUUGUGGUAGUUUGAUUACCAGUAUAAAUUUUUUUAGUAAAAUUCUGGUGGAUCAAAGAUCGAGGAAUGAUUUGGUUUUAACUUGUUUGCAUCUUACGAACGAAGUACAUAAUAUAAUUUAAAUUAAUGAUUUAUAGUUACACCUAUUGAAAUAAAGAAGUAUGUGCAGGAUUUAAUUUCACGACUAAAGAGGACUCCGAAGAAGAAUUUCUGGGGGACCAAAGAUUGAGGAAUGAUUUGGUUUUAACUGGUUUGCAUCUGAUUAACAAAAUUCUGUAUCUCAAUGAUAUCCUGGCUUAUCGAUACGAUAUCCUGUAAAUCCACUCACACACAUAAGUUUUACUCACACACGUGAAUCCUGUGAAUUCACUCACACACGCAAAUCUUCAAAAAGAUGUUUAUAUUUUUAUCUAUAAUUGUAAAUUUUAUAUAAAUAAAUUGUAUAUUUUUUAUGUUUUUUAUUGUAUAUUACUAUUUGUAUUAAACAUCGACUUAUUCGAGUGUAUAUUUUCUGUAUAUUACUAUUUGUUUUAAAAAUCAAAAUAUUGCAAGUGCAGAGUUCAACAUA